AAUCUGAUUCGGAAAGGUUCGCACUGGAGAAGUUAGAAAACGGAAGAGGAAAGUUGUGGUUCAACCAAACGUCACAAAUGUGAACGAUAUGGGGUAUUUUAGCAACCAAGGGCAAGUUUACACUUUGAAAGAGCUUACGAAAGGAGACAACGUCUUGGAAGGCAACAGCUCUGGGAAAGCUUGGGAUUAACAGCAGAUAAUAAACUGCGUGUAUACAAGUUACUGUAAAGAGCAGGAAAUUGGUCAACAACCCGCUACGCCUGUGGUGGCUGGACAAUGGACGAGGACAAAGAAUGUGGCAAAGGAUGCCUGAGGUGAACUGGAGGGUGAGCUUGUGAACUGGGGGACACUUAAGUCCCAGGACAGACUGCGGGUGGGGUGGGGAAUCUCCAUCCUGAAGGACUGUGAUAUCUUGCAGGGAAAAAUGGGCAAGCAAGAGGUCAGCUGAGUAUUCCCGGAUCCUCUGGGCUUGGAGCCGGCUGGCUUUGCCUUCUGAGAACUUCCUGGCUUGGAUGUCUUUUCUUGUCCCUGUGGAAAUAAGGGGUGUUUGUGGGUGUCAUUGCCUGAAAACCAGUUUAGCCAACUGAAGUGUUACAGUAAAAUUUGUCAAAGAUGUUGGGAAUACCAUAAGAUUAAUACUCUCAUUGGAAAACUGAGUUUUCUGCAGUAUCUUUAUUUUUUAAGAAACUUUUUUUGGAUGCUCAAAAUAUCCAGGUAUUCUUUCCCCCCCCACUACAUUCUUUGAAUGUUGAAAUACUCUUUGCUUUCUCUUCCUUUCCCGAAGAUAAUAAACCUUUUGAGCUAUGUUUAUAGGAGAAAACUA